AUUGAUAAGUGUUACAUGAUUCAUGGGUAUCCACAAAGUACAACAUUUAACUAGGGGAGGAGACCUGCUGUUGCUCAUCUAACUGCUGGUGUGGAUUUCCUUCUUCUGAAGGAAAUGUGUCUGUUCCUCAAAGAAAUCCUCCUGAAAGCCAUCACCCUGUUACAAACAUAGAUGGCCAGAGUUCUGUGAUACUAGGGUUGAGCAGACAACAAUAUGACCAAUUGAUGAGCCUAUUACAACAGACUCAGUUAGGGGAUUCCACUGCUCAGACUCCUCCUCCCAUGUAUGCUGCUAAUUUGCUGGUACUAUGCUAACUGAGAGCCCUAUUUCUGAUUCCAAGCUUUGCAUGCUUACCCAUAUUAAUUCUGCCACCUGGAUAAUAGACUUAGGGGCAUCUAAUCAUAUGACAUAUGA
rnacentral:lncRNA from 1 species